rnacentral:rRNA from 1 species
UACGUAGGGUGCGAGCGUUAAUCGGAAUUACUGGGCGUAAAGCGUGCGCAGGCGGCUUCGCAAGUCAGGCGUGAAAUCCCCCGGGCUUAACCUGGGAAUGGGCGUCUGAAACUACGGAGCUGGAGUGUGGCAGAGGGAGGUAGAAUUCCACGUGUAGCGGUGAAAUGCGUAGAUAUGUGGAGGAAUACCGAUGGCGAAGGCAGGCCUCCUGGGCCGAACACUGACGCUCAUGCACGAAAGCGUGGGGAGCAAACAGG